rnacentral:rRNA from 1 species
AACGCUGAAGGCAUCUAAGCGUGAAGCCCCCCUCAAGAUGAGAUAUCCAUGAAGACUUGUUCUUCUAAGACCCCUUAGAGACUAUGAGGUAGAUAGGAAUGAGGUGUAAGCACAGCAAUGUGUUCAGCUGACAUUUACUAAUCGGUCGAGCGCUUAACCAAA